rnacentral:rRNA from 1 species
UACGAAGGGGGCUAGCGUUGCUCGGAAUCACUGGGCGUAAAGCGCACGUAGGCGGAUCUUUAAGUCAGGGGUGAAAUCCCAAGGCUCAACCUUGGAACUGCCUUUGAUACUGGGGAUCUCGAGUCCGGAAGAGGUGAGUGGAACUGCGAGUGUAGAGGUGAAAAUUCGUAGAUAUUCGCAAGAACACCAGUGGCGAAGGCGGCUCACUGGUCCGGUACUGACGCUGAGGUGCGAAAGCGUGGGGAGCAAACAGG